GCGUCGGGUAACCGCCAGCGCCAACCGGCGCCCGCGCUGCGCCUGAGGCGGCCCCGUCACGGGCUCGUGGCGCCGGCUCUGUCCGUCUGUCUGUCUGUCUGACCUCAAGAUCACCUGCAAUAAUGGAAACGAGAAUGUAUGCCGCCAUCAGACUAGUCAAGAAGUCAUGAUGUGGUGAAAUGAGAAGACAAUAAAGGCGGGUCAUUUAUCUGUUGGUGUUGGAAGCAAGUAUAUUCUGGUACAGCAGAGCUGAAACUGAGCAUCCAGUAUAUGUGUGUAGGAAUGACACACCUAAGGUUAGCAGAAGGGCCAGAGGGAGAGAGCAUGACCUGCAGAGCUAGGCAGACCUACAUUUACUGAAGGAACAUUUACUGAAGACCUCUGCCUUGUGAAAGUUGUUCGAAGUAAAUGCCCAGCGUGCUCAGAAACUCUCAAGGCUGCAACAUUAAAACUAUGUUUUGCUUCCGUCCCAAUGUUCUUUACCUAUUGUUAUGGAAAUCAAGACAGAAUAAACAU